ACUCAAAGGAAUUGACGGGGACCCGCACAACCAGUGGAGCGUGUGGUUUAAUUCGAGACGAAGCGAAAAACCUCACCAAGGCUUGACAUAAUAGCGUUCUAUUCCCGAGAAACCGGGGAAAUCCGUAAGGAGGCUAUUACAGGUGCUGCAUGGCUGUCGUCAGCUCGUGCCGUGAGGUGUUCCCUUAAGUGGGGAAACGAGUGCAACCCUUGUCUAAUGUUAAAUAUUCAUUAGAGACUGCCCCGAUUUUUCGGGGAGGAAGGAAAGGCGGACGUCAAGUCAGCAUGGCCCUUAUGCCUUGGGCUACACACACCCUACAAUGGCGAAGAACAAUGGGUCGCAAGCUCGCAAGAGCAAGCUAAUCUCAGAAAUUUCGCCUCAGUUCAGAUUGGGGUCUGAAACUCGACCCCAUGAAGUUGGAAUUGGUAGUAAUCGCGGAUCAGCGGGCCGCGGUGAAUACGUUAUCGGGUCUUGUACACACCGCCCGU
rnacentral:rRNA from 1 species